rnacentral:rRNA from 1 species
AGGACGAACGCUGGCGGCGUGCUUAACACAUGCAAGUCGAACGGUGACCUCGGAGCUUGCUCCGGGCGAUCAGUGGCGAACGGGUGAGUAACACGUGGGCAACCUGCCCCUGGCUCUGGGAUAACCCCGGGAAACCGGAGCUAAUACCGGAUACGAGACCGAUAGGCAUCUAUACGGUCUGGAAAGUUUUUCGGCCAGGGAUGGGCUCGCGGCCUAUCAGCUUGUUGUGGGUAAUGGCCCACCAAGGCGACGACGGGUAGCCGGCCUGAGAGGGCGAUCGGCCACACUGGGACUGAGACACGGCCCAGACUCCUACGGGAGCAGCAGUGGGAAUAUUGCGCAAUGGGCGAAAGCCUGACGCAGCGACGCCGCGUGGGGGGAUGAAGGCCGUUCGGGUUGUAAACCUCUUUCAGUCGAGGAAGAAGCGAAAGUGACGGUACUGCAGAAGAAGCACGCUAACACGUGCCAGCAGCCGAC